rnacentral:rRNA from 1 species
ACGCUGGCGGCGUGCCUAAUACAUGCAAGUAGAACGCUGAAGGAGGAGCUUGCUUCUCUGGAUGAGUUGCGAACGGGUGAGUAACGCGUAGGUAACCUGCCUGGUAGCGGGGGAUAACUAUUGGAAACGAUAGCUAAUACCGCAUAACAGUAGAUGUUGCAUGACAUUUGCUUAAAAGGUGCAAUUGCAUCACUACCAGAUGGACCUGCGUUGUAUUAGCUAGUUGGUGGGGUAACGGCUCACCAAGGCGACGAUACAUAGCCGACCGGAGAGGGUGAUCGGCCACACUGGGACUGAGACACGGCCCAGACUCCUACGGGAGGCAGCAGUAGGGAAUCUUCGGCAAUGGACGGAAGUCUGACCGAGCAACGCCGCGUGAGUGAAGAAGGUUUUCGGAUCGUAAAGCUCUGUUGUAAGAGAAGAACAGGUGUGAGAGUGGAAAGUUCACACUGUGACGGUAUCUUACCAGAAAGGGACGGCUAACUACGUGCCAGCAGCCGCGGUAAUACGUAGGUCCCGAGCGUUGUCUGGAUUUAUUGGGCGUAAAGCGAGCGCAGGCGGCUAGAUAAGUCUGAAGUUAAAGGCUGUGGCUUAACCAUAGUACGCUUUGGAAACUGUUUAACUUGAGUGCAAGAGGGGAGAGUGGAAUUCCAUGUGUAGCGGUGAAAUGCGUAGAUAUAUGGAGGAACACCGGUGGCGAAAGCGGCUCUCUGGCUUGUAACUGACGCUGAGGCUCGAAAGCGUGGGGAGCAAACAGGAUUAGAUACCCCUGGUAGUCCACGCCGUAAACGAUGAGUGCUAGGUGUUAGACCCUUUCCGGGGUUUAGUGCCGCAGCUAACGCAUUAAGCUCUCCGCCUGGGGAGUACGACCGCAAGGUUGAAACUCAAAGGAAUUGAC